UCAGGAUGAACGCUAGCGGCAGGCCUAACACAUGCAAGUCGAACGGUGAGGAGCUUGCUCUUGCUGACGAGUGGCGAACGGGUGCGUAACGCGUAUACACUUGCCUAUAACUGGGAGAUAGCCCAUGGAAACGUGGAUUAAUACCCCAUAACUUCGCAUGUUUAAAGCUUUUGCGGUUAUAGAUGGGUAUGCGUGACAUUAGCUAGUUGGUAAGGUAAUGGCUUACCAAGGCAACGAUGUUUAGGGGGUCUUAAAGGAUGGUCCCCCACACUGGUACUGAGACACGGACCAGACUCCUACGGGAGGCAGCAGUAGGGAAUAUUGGACAAUGGACGAAAGUCUGAUGCAGCCAUGCCGCGUGCAGGAUGAAUGCCCUAUGGGUUGUAAACUGCUUUUAUAUAAAGAAACCCCACUACGUGUAGUUGGCUGACGGUACUAUAAGAAUAAGGACCGGCUAACUCCGUGCCAGCAGCCGCGGUAAUACGGAGGGUCCAAGCGUUAUCCGGAUUUAUUGGGUUUAAAGGGUCCGUAGGCGGGAGAUUAAGUCAGUGGUGAAAGCCUACAGCUCAACUGUAGAACUGCCAUUGAAACUGAUUUUCUUGAAUGUAGAUGAAGUAGGCGGAAUAUAUCAUGUAGCGGUGAAAUGCAUAGAUAUGAUAUAGAACACCGAUUGCGAAGGCAGCUUACUAAACUAUUAUUGACGCUGAGGGACGAAAGUGUGGGGAGCGAACAGGAUUAGAUACCCUGGUAGUCCACACCGUAAACGAUGAUUACUCGGUGCUAGCGAUAUACUGUAGUGCCUAAGCGAAAGCGAUAAGUAAUCCACCUGGGGAGUACGGUCGCAAGAUUGAAACUCAAAGGAAUUGACGGGGGCCCGCACAAGCGGUGGAGCAUGUGGUUUAAUUCGAUGAUACGCGAGGAACCUUACCUGGGCUUAAAUGUGAUUGACAGUUUUGGAAACAAAAUUUUCUUCGGACAAUUUACAAGGUGCUGCAUGGCUGUCGUCAGCUCGUGCCGAGAGGUGUUGGGUUAAGUCCCGCAACGAGCGCAAGCCCUAGCUUUAGUUGCCAGCGAGUAAUGUCGGGACUCUAAAGAAACUGCCCGCGUAAACCGGAGGAAGGUGGGGAUGACGUCAAAUCAUCACGGCCCUUACGUCCUGGGCUACACACGUGCUACAAUGGCCGGUACAGAGGGCAGCUACUCCGCGAGGAGAUGCGAAUCUAAAAAGCCGGUCUCAGUUCGGAUUGGAGUCUGCAACUCGACUCCAUGAAGUUGGAAUCGCUAGUAAUCGUAGAUCAGCAUGCUACGGUGAAUACGUUCCCGGGCCUUGUACACACCGCCCGUCAAGCCAUGGAAGCUGGGGGUGCCUGAAGUCGGUGACCGCAAGGAGCUGCCUAGGGUAAAACUAGUGACUGGGGCU
rnacentral:rRNA from 1 species